GGGGGGGAGCGAGCUACAAUGGAGUCGAGCGGAACGAAGAGGAGCUUGCUCCUUUGGCGUCGAGCGGCGCACGGGUGAGUAAUGCUUGGGAAUAUGCCUUUUGGUGGGGGACAACAGUUGGAAACGACUGCUAAUACCGCAUAAUGUUUACGGACCAAAGCGGGGGACCUUCGGGCCUCGUGCCAAAAGAUUAGCCCAAGUGAGAUUAGCUAGUUGGUGGGGUAAAGGCCUACCAAGGCGACGAUCUCUAGCUGGUUUGAGAGGAUGAUCAGCCACACUGGGACUGAGACACGGCCCAGACUCCUACGGGAGGCAGCAGUGGGGAAUAUUGCACAAUGGGGGAAACCCUGAUGCAGCCAUGCCGCGUGUGUGAAGAAGGCCUUCGGGUUGUAAAGCACUUUCAGUCGUGAGGAAAGGUUAGUAGGUAAUAUCUGCUAGCUGUGACGUUAGCGACAGAAGAAGCACCGGCUAACUCCGUGCCAGCAGCCGCGGUAAUACGGAGGGUGCGAGCGUUAAUCGGAAUUACUGGGCGUAAAGCGUGCGUAGGCGGUUUGAUAAGCCAGAUGUGAAAUCCCGGGGCUUAACCUCGGAACUGCAUUUGGAACUGUUUGACUAGAGUACUGUAGAGGGUGGUGGAAUUUCCAGUGUAGCGGUGAAAUGCGUAGAGAUUGGAAGGAACAUCAGUGGCGAAGGCGGCCACCUGGACAGAUACUGACGCUGAGGCACGAAAGCGUGGGGAGCGAACAGGAUUAGAUACCCUGGUAGUCCACGCCGUAAACGAUGUCAACUAGCUGUUUGUGUUCUUGAACGUGAGUAGCGUAGCUAACGCGCUAAGUUGACGCCCUGGGGAG
rnacentral:rRNA from 1 species